UUUCGCUGCAGGAUUGAGAGAGAUAUUUUGUGGGAGACUUUUGGAGCUUGGGCAGCAAGCUAGAGGGGGUGCUUUUGCUGCCCUUUUUGGGAGAGAUAUUUGGUAGAGGUAUUCGUUUUGCUUGGGGAGCAAGUCUGAGGGGUGGGGGGAGCGUAGGUUGUUACCUUCAGAGAUGAGAUAUUUUUUGGAUUGUAGGAUUUUCUUGGAGGGGAAGACACCUUAGAGGGGGAGUGACAGAACACUUCUUUAGGAGGGAUAGCUUGAGAAAAGGAAAAGAUUGAGGGGAAGAGAGUUUAAGCUUGAAGGGAGAGGCAACUAAGCUAAAAAGGUGGAGAGGUAGGCUGUGAGAAGGAAAAACCAGAAGGAGAAGACAGGAAAGGUUGUACAUCCUUACCUGAGGGAGCCAGAUAAUGCUAUCAUAGAAUAAAGAUCGUGAGUGUUGAGGAUGAAUAAAGCUCCUUCAGAUGGUUUGGGUUUGCACGAAGAUCUUGGAUAGGAAAGAAGCAGGGUAAUGCUCAAGUCGUAUCUCGUGGAAAUACUAUAGUUCUGGUUGAUUUGGAUCAGUUUGUUACUAAGGAUGUCAUACCGAUCAAUGAGAAAGAAGUUGAUGCUCUUCCAGUCAUGGCAAUGAAGCUCUCUGCCACACUUGUUGUUCGCGGAGUAGCGAUGGUCUCCAAAUCGAGUGACUCCGCUUUAAGAUUCAGAAAGUCAAGUAGAUAACAGAAAUCAAAGAAUGGCUAAAGACCAGUCAGUGGUUGGGUGAAGACGGAUUUACUAUGAACAGCAUGGUAGCGAAGCAUUGAUCUGUAGUGACAGUGAAGAAGAUAUUGUAGAACCUGAGAAAGAGAAGCAUGAAUUUUCUAAAAGUGAAGGAUCCUAUAAUGUGCUCUCUCUCUCAAGGCUAAGGACAUGAACAGAAUGAAGAAUCUAGCUGAGUUAGAAGAUUGGAAAGAAGUUAAGUGACAACAGCAAUGAGGAUCAACCUAUUAAGGUUAUUUGGAGACUUCGGAGAGGAAGAAUUUAAUAUGGGACCAGAAAAACAAUGUUUGAGCAUUUUAGGGAGCCAUUAUCUAGUUCUGACGCCAUUAACCACAAGCAGGCCCCGUCUUAUGGGUCUCUUUAUGAUAAGUUAAGAAGAUCAACACGUGUGCUUAUUAGAAAUCCCGGAUACGUGUAAGGAGGACAGAGUGUGCAUGGGAAGAUGGAUGUGCUGUCAAAGACUUAGUCCAAGUUGUUCUCAAUGUUCACAUAUUUGCAAAUGAGUGGAAGGAGUGGGUCAUGUAGUUAUAGCUACUUAUUUGCAACGUGUUGAGUAGUUGUUUCCUUAUUUGUAGGAAGUGGUUGAACUUUAUGUAUUUAAAUUCUAUCAGAUUCAAUAAGAAGGCAGCAAAAGAUUUGAUCCAAACUCUAUGGUUUAUUCUCACCGGAAGAGAAUUAUAUUCUGGCUUUGACUGGGACCUAUCACUCUAUGCCAAGUCACUUAGCAUAAAUGAUGCCACAAGUCGACCCUAAGGCCUUGAUUGUUCUUUGGUCCUCAGUGGUUCACUCUAUGCCAAGUCACUUAGCAUAAAUGAUGCCACAAGUCGACCCUAAGGCCUUGAUUGUUCUUUGGUCCUCAGUGGUUCAGAGCUUGGCUAAAUGUUUAAUGAAAGGGAUGCUAACUGAAUCUGGUCAUCAUGGCACCUUCACCACAUCAUACUUGUCGCUCAUCAUCACUUCCCCACCCAUGCCAUCCUUACCCACGUAUAUACCCAUUUUCCAUGCCCACACUUCUUCCCCCACCCCCCACCCCCCCCAAUGCAUAUACUCAUUAAACCCACUUCGCUUUCUAAGUCUAUUCAUACCCAUUUCCUACACCCUAUAGUUGCCACCCUCAUUUUCACCUUAUCCAUCCAUGAAAUCACUAAACUCAUAAGAUCUCACCACUCUUCAUCUCUCAUUCCACUUGCUUGCCCAUAUUCACCAACCACCGAAAUUGUCUCACUGCCCACCCUUUACGUCUCCCGUAUCUACUACACACAUAUACGCUCAUUUCCUUUCACUAUCUUUCCCUUCACUCCACUACUUCAACUGAUUUUCUUCACCGUUUUCUCCUCUUAUACUCUCAUUCCCUCAGUUCGCAUGGAUAUCUAUCAAAGGGCAUGUUCAUUGACACAGGGCAAACAAGAUCACUUGUGAUUGAGAACGGGUUUUAAACGGGUCACAAGGAAGCUAUAUUCGAGGUCCAUAGUACAUGCCACAUUGGAGGUUAUACAGAAGAGAAGGACCGGGAAAUCUGAGGUUCAUGACUGUCGUAAAACGCAUGUUUAGAAUGCGAGAGAAUGGUUGCAGUUGAGGAAAUGGCAUAAUUGCACGUCCUCUGUAGUGAUAAAACUGAGAUUCUUACUCUAAGUCGCCUCACUGUCGAUUGAAAUUUCGUGACAUAAUCGCCUUGCCUAUGGUCAGAGUAUCAAGCCAGGAUAGUGGUCUUUCACUUGAUGAAAAGAGCAGACAUGUCUCAACACGCAUGAGGGGAAUUUUUGGCUACCCGGCACCAGAAUCCACAUGCAUGGUCACUUCGGUGUGCAUGCUACUAGCUUUGGCUGGUUCCUAGCCUUGGCACCCUCAGUACCUGACAGUCUCCAAUCAACCAGAAGAAAGCAUCUCUAGGAGGGCAAUAGAACAGAUCUGACGCUGAUAAAGGGCAGCACAUUACUGGCUUCCAAAAAAAAGAAGAGGCACUUCCAACUUACCAGACAAUGCUCAACACGCUGGAUGAUGUUUGAGAUGAGAUGGACGCAUGCCUCACUCCAUGGACAGUUUGGAUAAAAGCACUGACAGCUGUAGAGAUCCUCCAAGCCAUUGAAAAUGACCAAGAGAACAAGGAAGGUUGGUAUUGCUGAGCGAUAUGAAUACUCGUUACGGAGCUAGUUUGCGUACCCCGAUUAAGAAGAUGGAGAUGAAACUGCAGAUCCAUGUGCAGAAAACUUUAGAAAGCUAGAUGAGUCUUUAGUUUCUGAAGAUGAUAAGGAGGAACAAUAUGCUCUAGUGCAGAUGAUUGGGUUGUAAGUGCAUUAGGAUCAGGGUGACUCUAGCGGCUUCUUCUCCAUAGUUCUGUCUUUCAAUGACUUCAGAAAAGGAGCUCCCAAGCAACCAGAAGUUUCUGUUGGCAGCGAGGAGGUUUUCCACCUGAUCUGGUUCCCGCUCCGGGUUGAAAAUGUCGUCCCUAUACCCAUUAGAGGAGGUGCAUGGCAAGGAUUCCUAAGAAGCAGGCUAAGUUGCUGUCUGACUUCUUAUACCAUUUGAUCAGAUAAAGAGUGUUAUUGAGCAAAGUUGUUGCAGGGAAUGGAGAGCUACUGUGCCCGAUCAUUUGCAAAGGCUCUUGAAGUCAUUCUGUGUGCCUAGGCAGAGGACACGAGCUUGAACCUAAUAUCUUUUGUGACUGAGUUUAGGAACCCCCAUCUUCAAAGGGGGAAUCAAUGUCGAAUCAAUGUGAUAAAGAGACAUAUUAUCAACGUCAUGGAGGAGCCCUCCACGUGAAGAGAAGUUUGGCUAUGGAGAGUGGUCUUCCUAUCCUGAGGUUGUUCAGAAGUUACGCUGCUAUGGGUAAGGGGCCUGGUGUCAUAAGCAGAGGGCCAGCUGUUAUAAUCCCAAUGGCUGUAAAAAAAUGUUGAUCCUAAGCAAAGAGUCCUUUUUUUUUUCUUUUCCAUAAGUUGUUUUCAAACGGGAUGCGAUAAUCAGAGCAACGACAUGAUGCGCUUCGAAUUCAUAUAUCUGAAGAAGCUGCCCUAAUAUAUGAUUGUUGACAAAUUUGAGGUUGCUUCAAUGCAUUGA